CGCCUAUUGAACAUAUAAUAGGUCCAUCCUGCCCAGUGAAUUUAUUUUCAACGGCCGCGGUAUCCUGACCGUGCAAAGGUAGCAUAAUCAUUUGCCUUUUAAUUGAAGGCUAGUAUGAAAGGACACACAAGAAUAAUACUGUCUCAUUUGGGUUAUCUUAAAACUGAUUUUUAGGUGAAGAAGCCUAAAUUUCCAUAAAGGACAAGAAGACCCUAUAGAGCUUUAUCAGUAAAAGUUAUUAAACUCCUUUACUGAUUUGGUUGGGACAACCAAAAGACAAUAAUACCUCUUUUUCUUAAAAAUAUAACUCACACCCAUAAUUGAAUUAGAAUUUCAAGCUACCUUAGGGAUAACAGGCUAAUCCCACUAGAGAGACCACAUUGACAGUGGGGAUUGGCACCUCGAUGUUGGCUUAGUGUUACCAUUAGGCGCAGCCGCUUAAUUGAGUUGGUUUGUUCAACCAUUAAAUCACU
rnacentral:rRNA from 1 species